rnacentral:sRNA from 1 species
UUUAUAAACAAAAUGAUCGUUUGAAGAAUUAGAGCAUAUUUGUCAUUUGUUAUUUUGACUAAUCCAUCUCCAUUCAAAUUGUCCAAUUAUGUUUAG